rnacentral:tRNA from 1 species
AAGUAAUGAAGUAUAAAUACAUUUAGUUUCGACCUAAAGAAAGAAAAUUGUUUUUCCUUACUUA